GGCAGGAAUAUAAAGAAAGCCAACGCCCCACGUCCACCUAAUGAAUUGAAUGUGUAUUCUACAAUGUCAACAGAAUGGACAGAAUUGAAUCCGACUUGAUUGGGCCCUUUAAAACUUCCGUUUGUCUUUUGACACUUUCGGUCGUUGGAUGAAGAAGAGGUAACCAAGACCCAAAUCAGGAGACUUAACUGCAAACAAAUGAGACGCAGUACUAAUCACCCGAGCAGCAGAUGCACCUUUUUAUGCCACCAAGAUUAAAACAGCUUCUAGCUAUAUUUAAAUACAAUCAUCGAAUUAUUCAUGCAUCAUUACGUAUUCAAGUAGAGUCGACUGGAAGGCAGAAGAGUUGUUUAGAAACAAGGUUCACACUGCAACCAAUCACGACACUAGUUAGAACAGUCAGUCGUUUAUGGACGAAUGGACAUCGAAAUAAAUCUGAAACGCAGUCGACAAAGUCGCGAAUGAACCGUGAAAAUGUAAAGUAGCACCGUGAGAAAACAAAAACCGUUUUAAUGCUUCAUUAAACAAAUUUAACGAAAA